UGUGUAGCCCUGGCUGUCCUGGAACUCACUCUAUAGACCAGGCUGGCUCGAACUCAGAAAUCCGCCUGCCUCUGUCUCCCAAGUGCUGGGUUUAAAGGCUAGCCGAAGGCUCUUAACUAUCAGAUACUUACCUUGAAUUUGCUAUGCAGCUAAAGAUGGCACUGAAUGCCCUGCCACUAAAGCAUUGGUUCUCAACCCAUGGGUCCAGACCCCCAGAGGGGUCACACAUCAGAUAUUUACAUUACAAUUCAUAACACCAGCAACAUUACAGUUAUAGAGUAUCAAGAAAAUAAUGUUAUGGUGGGGGGGGGGUCACCACACCAUGAGGAACUGUAUCAAAGGGUCGCAGCAUUAGGAGGUUGAGAACCGUUGUUGUAUCGGCAUCAUAGAUGUAUUCCACCAUCCCUGGCUAUGUGGUACUGGCGAAGAGAACCAGGCUUUCCUGAACACGAGUUCAACUCUACCAACCGAGCUACAUACAUCUCAAUCCCCUAAUUCCAGUUUUGAUAUUAAGACUUUAAAAACCAAGCUGGGAGGCCGGUGAGAUGCCUCGGUGGUUAAGAGCAUUGACUGCUCUUCCACAGCUCCUGAGUUCUAUUCCCAGCACCCACAUGGCCGAUCAUACCUGUCUGUAACUCCAGGUCUAGGGGAUUGACACCCUCACGCCAACACAUAAAAAAACAAAAAUAAAUUAUUUUUUAAAAAAACUAAAUUAAAAACCGAGCUGGGCACAGUGGCCAAUAUGUUUAAUCUCAACACUGGGGGCAUUGAGGCAGGUGGGUCUCUGUAAAUUCAUGGCCUGCUUGCUCUCCAGAAAGAGUUCCAGGCCAGCCAGAGCUACACAGUAAGACUUUGUCUCAAAAUAACAACAAGCCCGUGGCUUAUCUUUUCAAAGCGCCAGGCCGUCCCAGGGUAAGUAGAUGAUCAGAAGUGCCACGUGAGCCUCUUUCUCCAUCCAGGCCUAGGCCAGCUUGGGUCACUGCGCAGCCAGCCUGUCGAGCAGAGCAGAGCAGAGCAGAGGACUGCUGCUGCCCGCCCACCCGAGGCACUCCCAACCUUCUGCUGAGACUGUGUCUGUGGCGUCACGCUCCCUCUCAGAACACACCUUCCACAGAGCAAAGCAUCUCUGACCUUCAAAGAACCAGACACACCUGGAUUUUCACUUCAGCCCAAAUGAGGCAACAGAGCCAUUCAUUGGAAGUAAACCAAAAAAAAAAAAAAAAAAAAAAAAAAAGGAGGCCUGCAGGCAGAAGAGACUGCAGUUUAAGAGGCAUAUAGAAUUCACGUGUCUGAGAAAGAAAAAUGAAGAAGAGAAAAUACAGGGCUGGAAAGGAAGAAAAGCCUAAAAGGGCCACUGGGAAUGGAAGUAGAUAUGAAUUCUGAUUUGGGAGCGCAUAUCCGUGUGUGAUCAAAGACAUGUGUCACCAUCUGGCUUUCUGUGGCAGAAGUCUUGCCAACACUUGGGAAACAGCUGCUAGGAAAUCUGUCGAAAAUCUGACUCAUGGACACCACCUAACCAUUCCUUCCUGGCAGAUACUAAAUCCUGGGAGGCUCAAUC
rnacentral:lncRNA from 1 species